rnacentral:tRNA from 2 species
GAAUAAAUGGCGUAUUAAGCGUGUGCGAUUUCGGGUCGUAAGGAGCAGUUUGCUUUAUUUU